rnacentral:ribozyme from 1 species
UUAUGCAUCUCUUGGUGCGCUGAUGCCGUAUUUACCAGUAUAUUACCAUUCCCUCGGACAUGGUGGUCUUAUCAUAGGAUUACUGGGAGCUGUCAAACCUCUCACCACUUUUCUGGUUGCGCCUUUUUGGGGUAUUAUUAGCGAUCAAUCUAGCAACAAAUUUAAAGCAUUAUACGCUACCUUCUUGGUGUCGCUUGCUGGUCAAU